AUUGAACGCUGGCGGCAGGCCUAACACAUGCAAGUCGAGCGGAAACGACAUUAUUGAAUCUUCGGAGGAUUUAAUGGGCGUCGAGCGGCGGACGGGUGAGUAAUGCCUAGGAAAUUGCCCUUCAGACUGGGACAACUAAUCGAAAGGUUAGCUAAUACCGGAUAUUAUGAGACCUUGGCAUCAAGGACUUAUGAAAGCUAUAUGCGCUGGAGGAGAACUUUGCGUUCCAUUAGCUAGUUGGUAGGGUAAUGGCCUACCAAGGCGACGAUGGAUAGCCGGCCUGAGAGGGUGAACGGCCACAAGGGGACUGAGACACGGCCCUU
rnacentral:rRNA from 1 species